AAACUACUCCCUCCGUUUCAAAUUACUUGACCCAUAUUUAUCUAGAUACGAAUGUAUCUAGACACUAAACAAGUAUAGAUACAUCUGUAUUUAGAUAAAUUCAAGUCAACUAAUUUGGAACGGAGGGAGUAGUAU
rfam:Triticum aestivum genome assembly, contig: Triticum_aestivum_CS42_TGACv1_scaffold_342781_4DL